rnacentral:rRNA from 1 species
CCCUUAGAUGUCCUGGGCCGCACGCGCGCUACACUGAGUGUCUGAGAUACGAGUCUGCCUGGUCCGGCAAGGUCUAGGUAAUCGCUAAAAGACACAUCAUGCUUGGGAUAGAUUAUUGCAAAUAUUAAUCUUGAACGAGGAAUUCCUAGUAAGCGCAUGUCAACAGCUUGCGUUGAUUACGUCCCUGCCCUUUGUACACACCGCCCGUCGCUACUACUGAUUGGAUGUUUAAGCGAGGUUCUCGAACUGCUAGCGACUUAGCUUCGGUGAGGUCGCAGUGUGGGAAGUGAACCUAGCUUUGGUGUCUAGAGGAAGUAAAAGUCGUAACA